UCCUCCUCCUGCGCGCCUUGCAUGCUGUGGCUCCUCUCGGCGGGUUUGGGCAGGGCGCUCCCGGUAGCUGAAGUGACCGACAGCAGCACUCAUGCUCCCUGACAUUGACUUAAUCUGGAUUGUGAAGUCCAACACUCUUUGUGCCUGAGUAGAGCUCAAAAUCUCAUAUCAGAGCAAGACUCAAGCAGAGAGUGAGAGUAAACUGUGGGAUGGCACAUUUCCCCUCCCUUCCUACCGCCACACUUUGCCAUUGUUCCUGCCCACAAGGAUGAUUCACCACUUGUGACCCCCAUGACUGCCUUGUUGAAAAUAGACAACAGAGAUUCCGAUGAAACCCUGCAGGUCUCUGUGAUUAUGUGUAGAUACAGAGCAGAAGUCAGCUGUCUUCUUUUUCUGAGUGACUUACUCAGACUAAACAUCAGCACUGGACCUAGAAGCUUCACAACCUCUAGCAGACAGGUGACUUUGAGACCUGUCACUGUGCAUCGCCAUCUUCUCCGGCAAUUGAACUUCAUGACCUCGUUUGGAUGGCUCUGGGAAUCGCGUUCAUCCUUGGACUUGUCGACAAGAACGAAUAUGCUUCGUAAUCAGCUCUCAGAUGAGGCUGUCUCGGGACAGGCUGGGAAUAUGAUGCUAGUUCCAGCAGGGUACUCUGAUGAAGGGUUCAGCACAGUUAGGUGCACAUGUCAUCUUGACAUUAUGAUUUUUAAAAUAACUUCCGCAAUACUUUAUACAAUAUGUUUUGUGCCUGUGAACCCAAAUGUAAUUCAAAGGAAAUUGGAGCAAUUUAUGGUCACCACCACUGCAGCGUUGAACAGAAAAAAAGCCUUAGUAAGUGCUGCCCUCUGCUGGUCAUAUCUAAUUUGACAUUCGAGGCCUAGAGAUGUAAUUACAUGUUUGUAGAGACUACGUUCACACUCAUUCGCACUUGCAAGUUGUAAAUGAAAAUGUUUGUCAUGUGUAAAGACGGGUACUCAGAGAAAACCAACGCAGGAUAUUACAAACGCCAAAAAGCCUGCACCAUGACAUUUGAAACCAGCACCUCUCAAUUAGGAGGCAGAUCAGUAUCUAAAAAGCAACCCUAUGCAUCUACUGAUAACUCUAAUAGCGUAUACCAAUAGUAAACCUAUUGUAAAAGCAAUUAAAGCGAAAUUUGGACACGUGGCGGAAUGUAAAAAAAAGCAAGGUUGACGAUAGGGAGAUGAACGUCAUAUAAACAACAUGAGACGAAACAGUCUGUUAACGUUUGAACUUGUCAUCAUCUUGUUUUAUUUUGAAGGUACCGGAAAUGCUUGGACAAUU